UUGGAAAUUCUCUUUGGUAUGUGCUAGUUCUCUCUCCAGCUUCUCAUUUUUUAAGAUUAAUUGUUAGUGGAAAUAGGUUUUAGAUUCAUUGAAAUGUUCUCUUUUGCUUCCUUUUCUCUAAUGAGCAUUAUCUGUUCUAUUUCAUAUCUAAUUUAUAUGGUCUGAUUCUCUUUUUGUUUAUUGGGUUUUAUGUGUUAAUCUGUGAUAAAAAUAAGUUCACUUUUUUGUGCAGGUUUCUUGACUUGAAGUUUAGUUUGUCUAUCAUAUUUAGAGAUAAUAAACGAGUCUCUGGGAGAACCAACUCUGAUGAUGUUUAAAUUAGAUGAGAAGCUGAAGUUGAUAGAAUCUCGUCUGGAAAGCAAAAAUUGAGGGCCCACUUCAGGCUUACAUCCUCGUUGACGUACAUCACGUGAUAUUCCUCCGGUGUGGAGUUAAGAAUUUGGGGGUUUCUUUCAAGAAGCAAGUAAAAUGUACAGCAACUAAAGUUUACUUGGUCUCAAAUUCUUCUUGCCCAGGUUCCAAUGGCUCCAAAACAGCCAAACACAGGACUCUUUGUGGGUCUAAAUAAAGGGCAUGUUGUCACCAAGAAGGAAUUAGCACCUCGUCCUUCCGACAGAAAAGGGGCUUAUCAAGAUAUUCUCUAGCUUUGAGAGCUGCAUAAGGCUAAUGAUUAAAAAAAGAAAAGUGAGUCAGUAAAUGGAGAUUCUAAAGAUCAUCAUCCAAAUGCACCAAAAUUUAGAGUAAGAUCGAACCACUAUUAAUGAAGGUAUUCUACUGGGCUAGGAUGCUUGUUGUUUGGAUAUGGAGCCAUGGAAGAACUUGGAACCUUCCGUGUUAAC